UCCUUCGUGGUAUAAUGGUCAGCACGCUGAGUCGGUAUUUCAGAGGUCCUUGGUUCGAUCCCCGGCGAAGGCA
rnacentral:tRNA from 1 species